rnacentral:rRNA from 1 species
UCAGAUUGCAGUCUGCAACUCGACUGCAUGAAGUCGGAAUCGCUAGUAAUCGCGGAUCAGCAUGCCGCGGUGAAUACGUUCCCGGGCCUUGUACACACCGCCCGUCACACCAUGAGAGUCGGAAAUGCCCGAAGUCAGUGACCCAACCGUAAGGAGGGAGCUGCCGAAGGUGGAGCCGGUAACUGGGGUGAAGUCGUAACAAGGUAUC